ACUGCUCAGUAACACGUGGAUAACCUGCCCUUGGGUCCGGCAUAACUCCGGGAAACUGGAGAUAAUUCCGGAUAACGCAUAUAUGCUGGAAUGCUUUAUGCGUAAAAUGGAUUCGUCUGCCCAAGGAUGGGUCUGCGGCCUAUCAGGUAGUAGUGGGUGUAAUGUACCUACUAGCCAACAACGGGUACGGGUUGUGAGAGCAAGAGCCCGGAGAUGGAUUCUGAGACAUGAAUCCAGGCCCUACGGGGCGCAGCAGGCGCGAAAACUUUACAAUGCGGGAAACCGUGAUAAGGGGACACCGAGUGCCAGCAUCAUAUGCUGGCUGUCCAGGUGUGUAAAAUACACCUGUCAGCAAGGGCCGGGCAAGACCGGUGCCAGCCGCCGCGGUAACACCGGCGGCCCGAGUGGUGAUCGUGAUUAUUGGGUCUAAAGGGUCCGUAGCCGGUUUGGUCAGUCCUCCGGGAAAUCUGACGGCUCAACCGUUAGGCUUUCGGGGGAUACUGCCAGGCUUGGAACCGGGAGAGGUAAGAGGUACUACAGGGGUAGGAGUGAAAUCUUGUAAUCCCUGUGAGACCACCUGUGGCGAAGGCGUCUUACCAGAACGGGUUCGACGGUGAGGGACGAAAGCUGGGGGCACGAACCGGAUUAGAUACCCGGGUAGUCCCAGCCGUAAACGAUGCUCGCUAGGUGUCAGGCAUGGCGCGACCGUGUCUGGUGCCGCAGGGAAGCCGUGAAGCGAGCCACCUGGGAAGUACGGCCGCAAGGCUGAAACUUAAAGGAAUUGGCGGGGGAGCAC
rnacentral:rRNA from 1 species